rnacentral:rRNA from 1 species
UACAGAGGGGGCAAGCGUUAUUCGGAAUUAUUGGGCGUAAAGGGCGCGUAGGCGGCCUGGCAAGUGGAAGGUGAAAUCCCUCGGCUUAACCGAGGAACUGCCCUCCAAACUGCUUGGCUUGAGUCCGGGAGAGGUGAGUGGAAUUCCCAGUGUAGCGGUGAAAUGCGUAGAUAUUGGGAGGAACACCAGUGGCGAAGGCGGCUCACUGGUCCGGUACUGACGCUGAGGUGCGAAAGCGUGGGGAGCAAACAGG